rnacentral:rRNA from 1 species
UACGUAGGUGGCGAGCGUUGUCCGGAAUUACUGGGUGUAAAGCGCGUGUAGGCGGGAGGCCAAGUCUGUGGUGAAAUCGCCUGGCUUAACUGGGCGGGGUCCAUGGAAACUGGUCACCUGGAGGUCGGUAGAGGCAAGUGGAAUUCCCGGUGUAGUGGUGAAAUGCGUAGAGAUCGGGAGGAACACCAGUGGCGAAGGCGGCAUCCUGGACCGACAUUGACGCUGAGGAGCGAAAGCCAGGGGAGCAAACGGG